rnacentral:rRNA from 1 species
UACGAAGGGGGCUAGCGUUGUUUGGAAUUACUGGGCGUAAAGCGCACGUAGGCGGCAUGUUAAGUUAGGGGUGAAAUCCCGGGGCUCAACCCCGGAACUGCCUUUGAUACUGGCAUUCUCGAGUCCGGAAGAGGUGAGUGGAAUUCCGAGUGUAGAGGUGAAAUUCGUAGAUAUUCGGAGGAACACCAGUGGCGAAGGCGGCUCACUGGUCCGGAACUGACGCUGAGGUGCGAAAGCGUGGGGAGCAAACAGG